CCUAGUAGGCUGUGUGUCCAC
rnacentral:miRNA from 1 species